rnacentral:rRNA from 1 species
UACGUAGGUGGCAAGCGUUAUCCGGAUUUACUGGGCGUAAAGCGUGUGCAGGCGGGGGUACAAGUGGUGUAUGAAAUUUCCCAGCUUAACUGGGAAGGGUUAUGCCAGACUGUACUUCUGGAGUGCGAGAGAGGGGCGUGGAAUUCCGGGUGGUAGUGGUGAAAUGCGUAGAUAUCUGGAGGAACACCGGUGGCGAAGGCGGCGAUCCUGGACCGGUAUUGGACGCUGAGGCGCGAAAGCU